rnacentral:rRNA from 1 species
CACGUAGUUAGCCGGUGCUUCUUCUUCAGGUACCGUCACUUUCGCUUCGUCCCUGCUGAAAGAGGUUUACAAUCCGAAGACCUUCAUCCCUCACGCAGCGUCGCUGCGUCAGGCUUUCGCCCAUUGCGCAAUAUUCCCCA